rnacentral:rRNA from 1 species
AGUGAACGCUGGCGGUAGGCCUAACACAUGCAAGUCGAUCGGCAGCACAGUAAGAGCUUGCUCUUACGGGUGGCGAGUGGCGGACGGGUGAGGAAUACAUCGGAAUCUACUUUUUCGUGGGGGAUAACGUAGGGAAACUUACGCUAAUACCGCAUACGACCUACGGGUGAAAGCAGGGGAUCUUCGGACCUUGCGCGAUUGAAUGAGCCGAUGUCGGAUUAGCUAGUUGGCGGGGUAAAGGCCCACCAAGGCGACGAUCCGUAGCUGGUCUGAGAGGAUGAUCAGCCACACUGGAACUGAGACACGGUCCAGACUCCUACGGGAGGCAGCAGUGGGGAAUAUUGGACAAUGGGCGCAAGCCUGAUCCAGCCAUACCGCGUGGGUGAAGAAGGCCUUCGGGUUGUAAAGCCCUUUUGUUGGGAAAGAAAGGCAGCAGGUUAAUACCCCGCUGUUCUGACGGUACCCAAAGAAUAAGCACCGGCUAACUUCGUG